AACGCAUAUUGCGCUCUUUGGUAUUCCGAAGAGCAUGCUUGUUUGAGUAUCAGUAAACACCUCAAAGCCUUUUUUCUUUUUUGAAGAAAGGCUUUGGACUUGAGCAAUCCCAACACCAAUCUUUUAAAGAGAGGGGGCGGGUUGCUUGAAAUGCAGGUGCAGCUGGACAUUCUCCUGAGCUAAAAGCAUAUUCAUUUAGUCCCGUCAAACGGAUUAUUACUUUUGCUGCAGCUAAUAUAAAGGGAGUUUGGCCAUUUUGGCUGACUGAUGCAGGAUUUUCACAAGAGUCUUCAAAACCUCUUGUUAAACUCGAUCUCAAAUCAAGUCAGGAUUACCCGCUGAACUUAA
rnacentral:misc_RNA from 1 species